rnacentral:rRNA from 1 species
CACACCGCCCGUCACAUCAUGGGAGUUAGUUUUACCCGAAAUCGCUGACCUAACCGCAAGGGAGGAGGCGCCUAAGAUAAGGCUGAUGACUGGGAUG